UACGUAGGGACCGAGCGUUGUCCGGAAUCAUUGGGCGUAAAGAGCGUGUAGGCGGCCACUUAAGUCCUGCGUGAAAUCUUGCGGCUCAACCGCAAGCGGUCGUGGGAAACUGGGUGGCUAGAGUGCGGGAGAGGAGAGUGGAAUUCCUGGUGUAGCGGUGGAAUGCGCAGAUAUCAGGAGGAACACCGGUGGCGAAGGCGGAUCUCUGGGCCGAUACUGACGCUGAGGAGCGAAAGCGUGGGGAGCAAACAGG
rnacentral:rRNA from 1 species